CUCAAGACUUCACACAUACCUACAUAUUUAUAGGAUUUAUGUGGAUAGUUUGGGCUCGUAGAUUCAUCAACAAGAGUCCUUUCGUGUUUGAUCUUCAUAAAGUCUACAUUGGUUGAGUCAUAGAAUAAAGCGAGUGGACGAUCAGAAAUCAUUGGUCUAUUUUUAUUCGCGUGUGUUUUUUCGUUCCCUUGUUGCAAAAGAAUGUUACGUGUUAUAUGUUUAUUGUUAUUGGUAUGAUUUUGAAAUAAAAAAAAGUUGUAACUUAUAUAUGAAUC
rnacentral:lncRNA from 1 species